rnacentral:rRNA from 1 species
UACGAAGGGGGCUAGCGUUGCUCGGAAUCACUGGGCGUAAAGCGCACGUAGGCGGACUCUUAAGUCGGUGGUGAAAUCCUGGAGCUCAACUCCAGAACUGCCUUCGAUACUGAGAGUCUCGAGUCCGGAAGAGGUGAGUGGAACUCCGAGUGUAGAGGUGAAAUUCGUAGAUAUUCGGAAGAACACCAGUGGCGAAGGCGGCUCACUGGUCCGGUACUGACGCUGAUGUGCGAAAGCGUGGGGAGCAAACAGG